rnacentral:rRNA from 1 species
GCGUAUACAAUCUACCUCAUACUAGGGGAUAGCCCAGAGAAAUUUGGAUUAAUACCCUAUAGUAUCAUAAAGAGUCAUCUCUUAUUGAUUAAAGGUUACGGUAUGAGAUGAGUAUGCGUUCUAUUAGUUAGUAGGUGAGGUAACGGCUCACCUAGACCACGAUAGAUAGGGGCCCUGAGAGGGGGAUCCCCCACACUGGUACGUGAGACACGGACCGACGACUCCUACGGGAGGGCAGCAGUGAGGAAGUAAUUGGACGAAUAGGGCGGAAAGACCUCGAUCCACGCCACUGCCGCCGUG